UUGGUUAAGUUAGAAAGGGCGCACGGUGGAUGCCUUGGCACUAGGAGCCGAAGAAGGACGGGACUAACACCGAUAUGCUUUGGGGAGCUGUACGUAAGCGUUGAUCCAGAGAUUUCCGAAUGGGGGAACCCACUAUCUUUAGUCGGAUAGUAUCCUUACGUGAAUACAUAGCGUGAGGAAGGCAGACCCAGGGAACUGAAACAUCUAAGUACCUGGAGGAAGAGAAAGAAAAAUCGAUUUCCUGAGUAGCGGCGAGCGAAACGGAAAGAGCCCAAACCAAGAAGCUUGCUUCUUGGGGUUGUAGGACACUCUAUACGGAGUUACAAAAGAAAGUUAUAAAUGAAGCGGUCUGGAAAGGCCCGCCAAAGACGGUAACAGCCCGGUAGUUGAAAUGGCUUUCCCUCCAGAGUGGAUCCUGAGUACGGCGGAACACGUGAAAUUCCGUCGGAAUCCGGGAGGACCAUCUCCCAAGGCUAAAUACUCCCUAGUGACCGAUAGUGAACCAGUACCGUGAGGGAAAGGUGAAAAGCACCCCGGAAGGGGAGUGAAACAGUUCCUGAAACCGUGUGCCUACAAGUAGUUAGAGCCCGUUAAUGGGUGAUAGCGUGCCUUUUGUAGAAUGAACCGGCGAGUUACGAUUUGUUGCAAGGUUAAGCGGAAAAAGCGGAGCCGUAGCGAAAGCGAGUCUGAAUAGGGCGCAUAAGUAACAGGUCGUAGACCCGAAACCAGGUGAUCUACCCAUGUCCAGGAUGAAGGUAAGGUAAUACUUACUGGAGGUCCGAACCCACGCACGUUGAAAAGUGCGGGGAUGAGGUGUGGGUAGCGGAGAAAUUCCAAUCGAACUUGGAGAUAGCUGGUUCUCUCCGAAAUAGCUUUAGGGCUAGCCUCGAGGUAAAGAGUCAUGGAGGUAGAGCACUGUUUGGACUAGGGGCCCUUCUCGGGUUACCGAAUUCAGAUAAACUCCGAAUGCCAUGUACUUAUACUCGGGAGUCAGACUGCGAGUGAUAAGAUCCGUAGUCGAAAGGGAAACAGCCCAGACCACCAGUUAAGGUCCCCAAAUAUAUGUUAAGUGGAAAAGGAUGUGGGGUUGCUUAGACAACCAGGAUGUUGGCUUAGAAGCAGCCACCAUUGAAAGAGUGCGUAAUAGCUCACUGGUCGAGUGACCCCGCGCCGAAAAUGUACCGGGGCUAAACAUAUUACCGAAACUGUGGAUGAACCUCUUUAGAGGUUCGUGGUAGGAGAGCGUUCUAAGGGCG
rnacentral:rRNA from 1 species